CGAUAACGAACGAGACCUUAACCUGCUAAAUAGUUGCGUCCACUUUGGUGGUCGAUCAACUUCUUAGAGGGACUAUGGAUGUUUAAUUCAUGGAAGUUUGAGGCAAUAACAGGUCUGUGAUGCCCUUAGAUGUUCUGGGCCGCACGCGCGCUACACUGACGAAGGCAACAAGUAUUCACCUUGACCGGAAGGUCUGGGUAAUCUUUUGAAACUUUGUCGUGCUGGGGAUAGUCCCUUGCAAUUAUUGGACUUUAACGAGGAAUUCCUAGUAAGUGCAAGUCAUCAGCUUGCGUCGAUUACGUCCCUGCCCUUUGUACACACCGCCCGUCGCUACUACCGGAUUGAAUGGC
rnacentral:rRNA from 1 species